rnacentral:lncRNA from 1 species
CGUAAAUCUUAGUAAUCUUUUACAAAAAUCUUCUCCUCUGAAACUACUGGGCCAAAUUAAACCAAACUUGGCCACAAUCAUCAUUGGGGUAUCUUGUUUAAAAAUUGUGUUCGGUGACCCGGUCAACUAUUCAAGAUGGCCGCCAUGGCUAAAAAUAGAACAUAGGGGUAAAAUGCAGUUUUUGGCUUAUAACUCAAAAACCAAAGCAUUAAGAGCAAAUCU